rnacentral:rRNA from 1 species
AUACGUAGGGUGCAAGCGUUAUCCGGAUUUAUUGGGCGUAAAGGGCUCGUAGGCGGUUCGUCGCGUCCGGUGUGAAAGUCCAUCGCUUAACGGUGGAUCCGCGCCGGGUACGGGCGGGCUUGAGUGCGGUAGGGGAGACUGGAAUUCCCGGUGUAACGGUGGAAUGUGUAGAUAUCGGGAAGAACACCAAUGGCGAAGGCAGGUCUCUGGGCCGUUACUGACGCUGAGGAGCGAAAGCGUGGGGAGCGAACAGGAUUAGAUACCCUGGUAGUCCACGCCGUAAACGGUGGAUGCUGGAUGUGGGGCCCUUUUUCCGGGUCCUGUGUCGGAGCUAACGCGUUAAGCAUCCCGCCUGGGGAGUACGGCCGCAAGGCUAAA